rnacentral:rRNA from 1 species
UAGGGAAUCUUGCGCAAUGGGCGAAAGCCUGACGCAGCAACGCCGCGUGCGGGAUGAAGGCCUUCGGGUUGUAAACCGCUUUCAGCAGGGACGUAGAUGACGGUACCUGCAGAAGAAGCCCCGGCUAACUACGUGCCAGCAGCCGCGGUAAUACGUAGGGGGCGAGCGUUGCCCGGAUUUACUGGGCGUAAAGGGAGCGUAGGCGGACUUUUAAGUGAGAUGUAAAAUACCCGGGCUCAACUUGGGUGCUGCAUUUCAAACUGGAAGUCUAGAGUGCAGGAGAGGAGAAUGGAAUUCCUAGUGUAGCGGUGAAAUGCGUAGAGAUUAGGAAGAACACCAGUGGCGAAGGCGAUUCUCUGGACUGUAACUGACGCUGAGGCUCGAAAGCGUGGGGAGCAAACA